rnacentral:rRNA from 1 species
UUCGCUAGUAAUCGCGCAUCAGCCAUGGCGCGGUGAAUACGUUCCCGGCCUUGUACACACCGCCCGUCAAGCCAUGAAAGCCGGGGGUGCCUGAAGUCCGUGACCGCGAGGGUCGGCCUAGGGUAAAACUGGUGAUUGGGCUAAGUCGUAACAAGGUAGC